rnacentral:rRNA from 1 species
AACGUAGGAGACAAACGUUAUCCGGAGUUACUGGGCGUAAAGGGCGUGUAGGCGGUUUGUUAAGUUUGGCGUGAAAGCUCUCGGCUAAACCGGGAGAGGGAUGCAGAAUUCCAGGUGUAGCGGUGAAAUGCGUAGAUAUCUGGAGGAAUACCGGUGGCGAAGGCGGCAUCCUGGACCGGCAUUGACGCUGAUGAGCGAAAGCUAGGGGAGCAAACGGG